GAUGAACGCUGGCAGCGUGCCUAAUACAUGCAAGUCGAGCGAACAGACGAAGAGCUUGCUCCUCUGACGUUAGCGGCGGACGGGUGAGUAACACGUGGAUAACCUACCUAUAAGACUGGGAUAACUUCGGGAAACCGGAGCUAAUACCGGAUAAUAUAUUGAACCGCAUGGUUCAAUAGUGAAAGACGGUUUUGCUGUCACUUAUAGAUGGAUCCGCGCCGCAUUAGCUAGUUGGUAAGGUAACGGCUUACCAAGGCAACGAUGCGUAGCCGACCUGAGAGGGUGAUCGGCCACACUGGAACUGAGACACGGUCCAGACUCCUACGGGAGGCAGCAGUAGGGAAUCUUCCGCAAUGGGCGAAAGCCUGACGGAGCAACGCCGCGUGAGUGAUGAAGGUCUUCGGAUCGUAAAACUCUGUUAUUAGGGAAGAACAAAUGUGUAAGUAACUAUGCACGUCUUGACGGUACCUAAUCAGAAAGCCACGGCUAACUACGUG
rnacentral:rRNA from 1 species